GACGAACGCUGGCGGCGUGCUUAACACAUGCAAGUCGAACGGAAAGGCCCUGCUUUUGUGGGGUGCUCGAGUGGCGAACGGGUGAGUAACACGUGAGUAACCUGCCCUUGACUUUGGGAUAACUUCAGGAAACUGGGGCUAAUACCGGAUAGGAGCUCCUGCUGCAUGGUGGGGGUUGGAAAGUUUCGGCGGUUGGGGAUGGACUCACGGCUUAUCAGCUUGUUGGUGGGGUGGUGGCUUACCAAGGCUUUGACGGGUAGCCGGCCUGAGAGGGUGACCGGCCACAUUGGGACUGAGAUACGGCCCAGACUCCUACGGGAGGCAGCAGUGGGGAAUAUUGCACAAUGGGCGGAAGCCUGAUGCAGCAACGCCGCGUGCGGGAUGACGGCCUUCGGGUUGUAAACCGCUUUCGCCUGUGACGAAGCGUGAGUGACGGUAAUGGGUAAAGAAGCACCGGCUAACUACGUG
rnacentral:rRNA from 1 species